rnacentral:rRNA from 1 species
CCUACGGGGGGCAGCAGUGGGGAAUAUUGCACAAUGGGGGAAACCCUGAUGCAGCGACGCCGCGUGAGUGAAGAAGUAAUUCGUUAUGUAAAGCUCUAUCAGCAGGGAAGAAAAUGACGGUACCUGAGUAAGAAGCCACGGCUAACUACGUGCCAGCAGCCGCGGGAAUACGUAGGGGGCAAGCUUUAUCCGGAUUGACUGGGUGAAACGGGAGCGGAGACGGCAGUGCAAGUCUGGAGUGAAAGGCCGGGGCUCAACCCCCGGACUGCUCUUGAAACUGGACGGCGGGAGUGCAGGAGAGGUCAGUGGAAUUCCUUGUGUAGCGGUGAACUGCGUAGAUAUUAGGCGGAACACCAGUGGCGAAGGCGGCUUACUGGACUGUACCUGACGUUGAGGCUCGACAGCGUGGGGAGCAAACAGGAUUAGAUACCCUAGUAGUC